rnacentral:rRNA from 1 species
GAUGAACGCUGGCGGCGCGCCUAACACAUGCAAGUCGAACGGUUAAAGCCCCUUCGGGGGUGCAUAGAGUGGCGAACGGCUGAGUAACACGUGGGCAACCUGCCCCCCGCACCGGGACAGCCUCGGGAAACCGUGGUUAAUACCGGAUACUCCGCCACCCCCGCAUGGGGGCGGCGGGAAAGCCCAGGCGGAGGGGGAUGGGCCCGCGGCCUGUUAGCUCGUUGGCGGGGUAACGGCCCACCAAGGCGAUGAUGGGUAGCCGGGUUGAGAGACCGACCGGCCAGAUUGGGACUGAGACACGGCCCAGACUCCUACGGGAGGCAGCAGUGGGGACUCUUGCACAAUGGGCGAAAGCCUGAUGCAGCGACGCCGCGUGCGGGACGAAGGCCUUCGGGUCGUAAACCGCUUUCAGCAGGGACGAGGCCGCGAGGGACGGUACCGC